rnacentral:rRNA from 1 species
CCUACGGGUGGCAGCAGUGAGGAAUAUUGGUCAAUGGGCGUAAGCCUGAACCAGCCAAGUCGCGUGAGGGAUGAAGGUUCUAUGGAUCGUAAACCUCUUUUAUAAGGGAAUAAAGUGUGGGACGUGUCCUAUUUUGUAUGUACCUUAUGAAUAAGGAUCGGCUAACUCCGUGCCAGCAGCCGCGGUAAUACGGAGGAUCCGAGCGUUAUCCGGAUUUAUUGGGUUUAAAGGGUGCGUAGGCGGCCUGUUAAGUCAGCUGUGAAAGUUUGUGGCUCAACCAUAGAAUUGCCGUUGAAACUGGGGGGCUUGAGUAUGUUUGAGGCAGGCGGAAGGCGUGGUGUAGCGGUGAAAUGCUUAGAUAUCACGCAGAACCCCGAUUGCGAAGGCAGCCUGCCAAGCCAUGACUGACGCUGAUGCACGAAAGCGUGGGGAUCAAACAGGAUUAGAUACCCCAAUAGUA